AUACGGAGGAUCCGAGCGUUAUCCGGAUUUAUUGGGUUUAAAGGGAGCGUAGGUGGAUUGUUAAGUCAGUUGUGAAAGUUUGCGGCUCAACCGUAAAAUUGCAGUUGAAACUGGCAGUCUUGAGUACAGUAGAGGUGGGCGGAAUUCGUGGUGUAGCGGUGAAAUGCUUAGAUAUCACGAAGAACUCCGAUUGCGAAGGCAGCUCACUAGACUGUUACUGACACUGAUGCUCGAAAGUGUGGGUAUCAAACAGGAUUAGAUACCCUGGUAGUACACACAGUAAACGAUGAAUACUCGCUGUUUGCGAUAUACAGUAAGCGGCCAAGCGAAAGCAUUAAGUAUUCCACCUGGGGAGUACGCCGGCAACGGUGAAACUCAAAGGAAUUGACGGGG
rnacentral:rRNA from 1 species